UACAGAGGUCUCAAGCGUUGUUCGGAUUCAUUGGGCGUAAAGGGUGCGUAGGUGGCGAGGUUAGUCAGGUGUGAAAUCUCGGGGCUCAACCCCGAAACUGCACUUGAUACUGCCUUGCUAGAGUACUGGAGAGGAGAUUGGAAUUUACGGUGUAGCAGUGAAAUGCGUAGAUAUCGUAAGGAAGACCAGUGGCGAAGGCGAAUCUCUGGACAGUUACUGACACUGAGGCACGAAAGCGUGGGGAGCAAACAGG
rnacentral:rRNA from 1 species